AUUGAACGCUGGCGGCAUGCCUUACACAUGCAAGUCGAACGGCAGCACGGGAGCAAUCCUGGUGGCGAGUGGCGAACGGGUGAGUAAAGUAUCGGAACGUGCCCAGUCGUGGGGGAUAACGUAGCGAAAGUUACGCUAAUACCGCAUACGACCUAUGGAUGAAAGCGGGGGAUCGCAAGACCUCGCGCGAUUGGAGCGGCCGAUAUCAGAUCAGGUAGUUGGUGGGGUAAAGGCUCACCAAGCCGACGAUCUGUAGCUGGUCUGAGAGGACGACCAGCCACAGUGGGACUGAGACACGGCCCAGACUCCUACGGGAGGCAGCAGUGGGGAAUUUUGGACAAUGGGCGAAAGCCUGAUCCAGCCAUGCCGCGUGCAGGAUGAAGGCCUUCGGGUUGUAAACUGCUUUUGUACGGAACGAAAAGGUUUGGCCUAAUAAGCUGAGCUCAUGACGGUACCGUAAGAAUAAGCACCGGCUAACUACGUGCCAGCCGCCGCGGUAA
rnacentral:rRNA from 1 species